ACAGAUGGAAUAAUACCAAUCUGCCAACACAAACUGCAGCAAAAAAAUCGGCAGAAAAUGUCGCGGCCGUUUUUCGGAAUCGUCAGCAAACAAUCCCCAGGAAUCAAUUUUUCGGCCGGAAACGUAAACGUAAGAUUAUACACCGUUUUCACUUCCACCACAAAGCUGUUAAGCAAACCUUCAGUGUCUCCAUGAAGAAUUUCUGCAUGAUUAAUGCAUUUCGUGCACGAUUAAUGUAAAGUUGAAAUGGAUUUCCUACAUCCCCUGCCGUCGCAAACAAUAUCAACAUAUCAUCGCCGUAAUCGCUCCCGUCCGUCUGGAAAUCCUCUAAGAAACAUCUAAAAAUGCCGGUGAAUAACAUAAACACAAAAGUGAAGCUUAUUAUAUGGAAAUACAUUUGAAUUCAACAAUUUUUAA